rnacentral:tRNA from 1 species
UGGGGCUGUAGCUCAGUGGCAAAGCGCUUGCCUAGCAUGCGUGAGACACUGGGUUGGAUCCUCAGCACAUAA